GACGAACGCUGGCGGCGUGCUUAACACAUGCAAGUCGAACGGAAAGGCCCUGCCUUUGUGGGGUGCUCGAGUGGCGAACGGGUGAGUAACACGUGAGUAACCUGCCCUUGACUUUGGGAUAACCUCAGGAAACUGGGGCUAAUACCGGAUAGGAGCUCCUGCUGCAUGGCGGGGGUUGGAAAGUUUCGGCGGUUGGGGAUGGACUCGCGGCUUAUCAGCUUGUUGGUGGGGUAGUGGCUUACCAAGGCUUUGACGGGUAGCCGGCCUGAGAGGGUGACCGGCCACAUUGGGACUGAGAUACGGCCCAGACUCCUACGGGAGGCAGCAGUGGGGAAUAUUGCACAAUGGGCGGAAGCCUGAUGCAGCAACGCCGCGUGCGGGAUGACGGCCUUCGGGUUGUAAACCGCUUUCGCCUGUGACGAAGCGUGAGUGACGGUAAUGGGUAAAGAAGCACCGGCUAACUACGUG
rnacentral:rRNA from 1 species